rnacentral:rRNA from 2 species
ACAUACGACCAUAGGAAGUGGAAAAUAGGGCUUCCCGUCCGCUCAGCCGUACUCAAGCCACUUGCCGGUCAGUUAGUAGUAUGGUGGGUGACCACAUGCGAAUCCUGACUGUUGUAUGUCUGU